rnacentral:rRNA from 1 species
GAGUUUGAUCAUGGCUCAGAAUUGGACGCUGGCGGGCCAGGCCUAACACAUGCAAGUCGAACGGUAACAGGAAAGCAGCUUUGCUUCUUUGCUGACCGAGUGGCGGACGAGUGAGGUAAUGUCUGGGAAACUGCCCUGAUGGAGGGGGGAUAACUACUGGAAACGGUAGCUAAUACCGCAUAACGUCGCAAGACCAAAGAGGGGGACCUUUCGGGCCUCUUGCCAUCGGAUGUGCCCCAGAUGGGAUUAGCUAGUAGGUGGGGUAACGGCUCACCUAGGCGACGAUCCCUAGCUGGUCUGAGAGGAUGACCAGCCACACUGGAACUGAGACACGGUCCAGACUCCUACGGGAGGCAGCAGUGGGGAAUAUUGCACAAUGGGCGCAAGCCUGAUGCAGCCAUGCCGCGUGUAUGAAGAAGGCCUUCGGGUUGUAAAGUACUUUCAGCGGGGAGGAAGGGAGUAAAGUUAAUACCUUUGCUCAUUGACGUUACCCGCAGAAGAAGCACCGGCUAACUCCGUGCCAGCAGCCGCGGUAAUACGGAGGGUGCAAGCGUUAAUCGGAAUUACUGGGCGUAAAGCGCACGCAGGCGGUUUGUUAAGUCAGAUGUGAAAUCCCCGGGCUCAACCUGGGAACUGCAUCUGAUACUGGCAAGCUUGAGUCUCGUAGAGGGGGGUAGAAUUCCAGGUGUAGCGGUGAAAUGCGUAGAGAUCUGGAGGAAUACCGGUGGCGAAGGCGGCCCCCUGGACGAAGACUGACGCUCAGGUGCGAAAGCGUGGGGAGCAAACAGGAUUAGAUCCCCUGGUAGUCCACGCCGU